GUAGUUCGAUGCACUGGAAACAAAUUUAUAAUAGAACUGUCAUGCGAUUUGUGUGUUGACAGUUGACAUCAGUUGAGAUAACAGAAUGUGUUGUUCAUACCAGAUGACUACUGUGGCAAAAUGUGUGUUCAGACCACUACAGUGAACAGUGUAAAAAAUGACGGAGACUAUAUGUAUGGAUUGUGGAAGACCCUUACGUACAGUCCCAUGAGAGUUGGGCAUGCCCAUCAGAAACAAGUGAACCCAUACGCUUUUGUAGAAAGGAGAGUGAAAGUCCAAAACUCAAACUAGAUACUAGAAGAGACAGAAGAUAAUAUUUAGCUGAAAGUGAAUAUGAAAUAAAUAAAUUUAUGAAUACGUACAAUCAGUGCUUGAUUUGUGACGGUACAAAUGAGUACCUCUGAUGGAGAGGGGAAUCAGAACCGCAGGUUUUGAGGUGUGGUUAUGAUAGAACUUUUGCUGCAGUUAAUGCAGUGUGAAAUAAAUGCUGUAUUCACAUUUUUCAAAUGCUCACAAAAGUGUUAAAAUAACAUUUUAAGAAGUCUAUAUUUCAGAAGCAACUCCUUUGAAGUCACAGUAUGAGAACCUUUUUUUAACAAAUCAAGCACUGACUGUAACUAAAGACAUUCCCUUUAACAAAAAGCUGUAGAAAGAGAAAAUAUAUCUGUAUAUAUAUCUGUAG